GCCUCAAACCAAGCCUAAUCUUUUAUACCCAUAACACAUACCCAACCAUUUCAACACCUGAUAAAGCAUUUUGUUUAUCUAGUAGAGGCGAUCAAAAGAAACCUUAGAGCUUCAAAAAUAGUACCGCAAGGGAAUGGUGAAAUAGUUCUGAAAUAGCAAUAAAGCACAUUACAGCAGAGCAUACCCCUCGUACCUUUUGCAUCAUGGUUUAGCCAGUCACCAUCAAGCAAAGCGAGCCCCAAGUUUGACUCCCCGAAACUGGAUGAGCUACUUCGAAACAGCUUUUAGAGCCAACCCGUCUCUGUUGCAAAAGAGUGGGAUGAUUUCCAAGUAGAGGUGAUAAGCCUAUCGAAUCCAGAGAUAGCUGGUUAUUCAGAAAAAGAAUUUUAGUUCUACCUUAAGUUUCUUCAUUACUAUAAAAAUUACACAAACUUAAGAGCUAUUCAAAUAAGGCACAGCUUGUUUGAAAAAGGAUACAACCUAACACAAAGGGUAAGCAACAACACACUUGUCUUAAGUGGGCCUGAAAGCAGCCACCUUUUAAAAAGCGUCAAAGCUUAGUCUUAUCCUCACUCACCAAUUCCCGCAUUUCCUACGAACCCUCAACUACAACUGAAUAAUUCUAUAAUAUUAUAGAAGAUAUAAUGCUAAAACUAGUAACAAGAAGUUGACCUUCUCCAAAAUGCAAGCAAAAACCUAAUCGGACCAACCAUUGGUUAAUAACGCCUAUGAAACAAAUAUAGUAACUCACACUAGUAAAUUCUAUUAAUAAAAGCGUUAACCUUACACAAGAGCAUCUCUGGAAAGAUUUAAAGAAAAAGAAGGAACUCGGCAAAUCCAGGCCUCGCCUGUUUACCAAAAACAUCGCCUCUUGACCCCCCUAUAAGAGGUCCAGCCUGCCCAGUGAUACUAUUAAACGGCCGCGGUACCCUGACCGUGCGAAGGUAGCAUAAUAACUUGUUCUUUAAAUGGGGACUAGCAUGAACGGCAUCACGAGGGUCUCACUGUCUCCUUUUUCUAAUCAGUGAAACUGAUCUUCCCGUGAAGAAGCGGGGAUCAAACUAUAAGACGAGAAGACCCCAUGGAGCUUUAAACCCAAUAGACACCUCUGACUAAUCUAACCCACCAUACUUCUUAAGUUCUGCCUAUUGGUUUUAGGUUGGGGUGACCACGGAGUACAACAAAUCCUCCAUGACGUACGGGACUUCCCUCUUAUCCUUGAACCACACUUCUAAGAAUCAACAAAUUGACGUUCAAUGAUCCAAUAUAUUGAUCAACGGACCAAGUUACCCUGGGGAUAACAGCGCAAUCCAUUUUAAGAGCCCCUAUCGCCAAAUGGGUUUACGACCUCGAUGUUGGAUCAGGGUAUCCUAGUGGUGCAGCCGCUACUAAUGGUUUGUUUGUUCAACAAUUAAAACCCUACGUGAUCUGAGUUCAGACCGGAGCAAUCCAGGUCGGUUUCUAUCUAUAAAGUGCUGCUCUUAGUACGAAAGGACCAGAGCAACGUGGCCAAUACACAAACAAGCCACAACUCAUAACUAAUGAAAUAAUAUUAAUUAGCUAAAGUCUAGCAAUUUAUCUUAGACAAAGACAG
rnacentral:rRNA from 1 species